AUGCCCUCUCAUCCUACAGGAGAGCGUGAGAAACCCCGGGGGCCCCAGGGGACUGGCACUAGGACACAGUAAGAAGCUGAGGUGAGACUAGAGGAAGUCACACAUUACUGGAUCUAGGACAUUUCGUCUCUGCAGAUUGGCAGAGCUGCCCAGGAGUUUGUAAAGUGGUCCUGGUUCCGAUAGAAGGCAAAAGGGUCAUGCCAAAAACAGUUCCAGUUCCUCACAAGUCCUAACUGAUCGAUGCCACCACCAGAGUGUUUCCAUCGCCAACUGCAAUGCUAACAACAGCAGCGAGGAAGGAGGUUACGCGAGUGUGGAGAGUUAAGUCGCAGGGGAGCUCAGAAGCAACACUGAGUGUGGCUUUCUCUUAAGUGUGCAAUGAACUUUUUGUCAAUUCAACUCACAUUUGUUGCAUUCUCAAUUGCUCAAGAUAAUACAACGCAGCACAACAGAGGCUCUUCUACUUUGUGGAGAAAGAUCCCCAAGGGAAGGAAACCCCAGGGCCCUUCUGCAUGAGGCUGUG